GGUGGUCGGAUGGUCGCGGGGUGGUAACACCUCGAGGAAAGUCCGGACUCCAUGAAAAGCACGGUGCUGGGUAAUACCCAGCGGGGGUAACCCUAGGGAUAGCGCCACAGAGAACAGACUGCCUUCUAUAUGGAGGUAAUGGUGAAACGGUGGGGUAAGAGCCCACCGCGGAUGUGGCAACACAGACGGCACGGCAAGCCCCACCGGGAGCAAUGCCAAAUAGGGGUCUCGUGUCGCUUGCGGCGUGGGUGCUUGGACCACAGAGACCCGGGUUGGCAGCUAGAGGCUGGUUGGUAACAAUCAGUCCAGAUGAAUGAUCAUCUCGGGGCAGCGAUGCCCUAGACAAAAUCCGGCUUACAGACCACCCG
rnacentral:RNase_P_RNA from 1 species